ACCUACUUAACUCAGCGGUUAGAGUAUUGCUUUCAUACGGCGAGAGUCAUUGGUUCAAAUCCAAUAGUAGGUAUAACCAAUAGUAGGUA
rnacentral:tRNA from 1 species